rnacentral:tRNA from 1 species
GCACCCGUAGCUCAGGGGAUAGAGCACUGGUUUUGGUACCAGGUGUCGGGAGUUCGAAUCUCUCCGGUGUACCA